CAUAAUCAUUAGUUUUUUAAUUGGAAACUUGUAUGAAUGGUUAGAUAAAAGAAAUUCUGUCUCACUAUUUUAGUUUGAAUUUUACUUUUGAGUGAAAAGGCUCAGAUUUAUUAAAGGGACGAUAAGACCCUAUAAAGCUUAAUAAUAAGAUUAUAUUUUUGUUAUAUUUUAUAUAAAGUAAAAAUAAAAUAAUAUUAUUUUAUUGGGGUGAUAUAAAUAAAAAUAAAUUUAACUGUUAUAAGAAUAAACAUUAAUAAGUGAAAAACGUGAUCCCACUAUGUGGAUUAAAAGAAUAAGUUACUUUAGGGAUAACAGCGUAAUUUCUUUAAAGAGUUCAUAUUGAAAAAGAAGUUUGCGACCUCGAUGUUGAAUUAAAAUAUCUUUAUAGUGCAGUUGCUAUAGAAA
rnacentral:rRNA from 1 species